GACGUAGGGCGCGAGCGUUGUCCGGAUUUAUUGGGCGUAAAGAGCUCGUAGGCGGCUUGUCGCGUCGACUGUGAAAUCCCGCGGCUCAACUGCGGGUCUGCAGUCGAUACGGGCAGGCUAGAGUUCGGUAGGGGAGACUGGAAUUCCUGGUGUAGCGGUGAAAUGCGCAGAUAUCAGGAGGAACACCGGUGGCGAAGGCGGGUCUCUGGGCCGAUACUGACGCUGAGGAGCGAAAGCUAGGGGAGCAAACGGG
rnacentral:rRNA from 1 species